CCUACGGGAGGCAGCAGUGGGGAAUAUUGGACAAUGGGCGAAAGCCUGAUCCAGCAAUGCCGCGUGAGUGAUGAAGGCCUUCGGGUCGUAAAGCUCUUUUACCAGGGAUGAUAAUGACAGUACCUGGAGAAUAAGCUCCGGCUAACUCCGUGCCAGCAGCCGCGGUAAUACGGAGGGAGCUAGCGUUGUUCGGAAUUACUGGGCGUAAAGAGUACGUAGGCGGUUAUUCAAGUCAGAGGUGAAAGCCCGGGGCUCAACCCCGGGAACUGCCUUUGAAACUAGAUAACUAGAGUCUUGGAGAGGUUAGUGGAAUUCCGAGUGUAGAGGUGAAAUUCGUAGAUAUUCGGAAGAACACCAGUGGCGAAGGCGACUAACUGGACAAGUACUGACGCUGAGGUACGAAAGCGUGGGGAGCAAACAGGAUUAGAUACCCUGGUAGUCCACGCCGUAAACGAUGAUAACUAGUUGUUCGGUCACUUGGUGACUGAGUGACGCAGCUAACGCAUUAAGUUAUCCGCCUGGGGAGUACGGUCGCAAGNUUAAAACCUCAAAGGAAUUGACGGCUGNGAGNGCGACGCGACGACGAGGAGGAGG
rnacentral:rRNA from 1 species